CAACACCUGGUGGCGAGUGGCGAACGGGUGAGUAAUACAUCGGAACGUGUCCUGUAGUGGGGGAUAGCCCGGCGAAAGCCGGAUUAAUACCGCAUACGCUCUACGGAGGAAAGGGGGGGAUCUUAGGACCUCCCGCUACAGGGGCGGCCGAUGGCAGAUUAGCUAGUUGGUGGGGUAAAGGCCUACCAAGGCGACGAUCUGUAGCUGGUCUGAGAGGACGACCAGCCACACUGGGACUGAGACACGGCCCAGACUCCUACGGGAGGCAGCAGUGGGGAAUUUUGGACAAUGGGGGCAACCCUGAUCCAGCAAUGCCGCGUGUGUGAAGAAGGCCUUCGGGUUGUAAAGCACUUUUGUCCGGAAAGAAAACGCCGUGGUUAAUACCCGUGGCGGAUGACGGUACCGGAAGAAUAAGCACCGGCUAACUACGUGCCAGCAGCCGCGGUAAUACGUAGGGUGCAAGCGUUAAUCGGAAUUACUGGGCGUAAAGCGUGCGCAGGCGGUCCGCUAAGACAGAUGUGAAAUCCCCGGGCUUAACCUGGGAACUGCAUUUGUGACUGGCGGGCUAGAGUAUGGCAGAGGGGGGUAGAAUUCCACGUGUAGCAGUGAAAUGCGUAGAGA
rnacentral:rRNA from 1 species